AAAUUUAGGUUAAAUAGACCAAGAGCCUUCAAAGCCCUAAGAAAGUAGAAACGUACUUAAUUUCUG
rnacentral:tRNA from 1 species